rnacentral:pre_miRNA from 15 species
GGGAUAGUUCCCGAUCGAAUAUCAGUUGGGGUAUUUACAAAAAGACAAAAUUGUAAUGCCCUGAAUGAUGUUCAAUCGGUGAUGAAUCUC